AUUGAACGCUGGCGGCAUGCCUUACACAUGCAAGUCGAACGGCAGCACGGGAGCAAUCCUGGUGGCGAGUGGCGAACGGGUGAGUAAUAUAUCGGAACGUGCCCAGUAGUGGGGGAUAGCCCGGCGAAAGCCGGAUUAAUACCGCAUGAGACCUGAGGGUGAAAGCGGGGGAUCGCAAGACCUCGCGCUAUUGGAGCGGCCGAUAUCAGAUUAGCUAGUUGGUGGGGUAAAGGCCUACCAAGGCAACGAUCUGUAGUUGGUCUGAGAGGACGACCAGCCACACUGGGACUGAGACACGGCCCAGACUCCUACGGGAGGCAGCAGUGGGGAAUUUUGGACAAUGGGCGCGAGCCUGAUCCAGCAAUGCCGCGUGCAGGAAGAAGGCC
rnacentral:rRNA from 1 species